GGGAAAGGGAGGAAGUUUCUCCGUUUCUGAUUAUGCGCAGAGUUUCCUUGUACUGAGCUUAUGUUCUCCACCCACUACUUAGUAAGAACUCCUUAACAACUUAAAGCUUUAUCCCUGUGAGUACCAGAAAAGUGAUUUGAGUAUUUAUUGAGCAGGGAGAACAAACUGCUUGCUCCAGGCAGGGAGACAGCUUAUGGAAAUAAUAUUAGACCUUCAGCAAAGUGCACAGCUGCAUCAUACAGAAGCUGAGACUCAAACUGACAGGCAAAUAAGCCAGAUCAAGGAAGGGGCCUCUGUGUGGCAGCUCUGAGCUACCAAGUGUUGGACAACUAGGCAAAAAGUGCAAUGGAACAGGGCAGAAAAUAGCACACUAACUUCAGGCAACUGUUGCUUUUUCAUGGUGCCUGCCUGCCUUUCAGUUUUGCAGCGGAAUCAUUGAUCGUUCUUACCACCUCACAACCUACAGAGCAAGAGAAGCCAACUUUAGGAGCAUGCUCAUACCCUCAGUGGAGGAGUGGGAAUUUAUCAUCUGUACAUCCUCCUGCGGGAAGAGGAGAGUAAACCAGCACCGUCCCUCAUGGACUUGGCAAGUCUGGCCAGGGGGCCAGGGCAAUGAACCCAACAUUGCAUUUAUUUGGACCUGGCAUGCUCAGAAGAGUAGUAGUAUGUGGUGCACAGGUAAAUCAUACAUGCCAGGGCCCCAAGAAAAUCCAUUCCCUGCCUCCCACUGAUGCGUAGCUGUCUUGGGUUGGGGCACAAGUGUCCAGUCUUGAAGAGAGCUGUGUGAAACCUCAGUGGAGACCACCCUCUUCUCUGAAACUGAAUUUUCUCUGGCCCUGCUGCUUCACAGCCCUGCUUCUGCCCAGCCCUGAUGAUUUGGGCACCACCUUAACACCAACCCUGUCCUGUCCUGCCCCGUCCCGGCUGGGCCUGGGGCCUGCAGCAGUGCUUGGGGAUGGCCGGGCUGUGGCCAGCCCUGGUCACUAUCCCCAGCCCAGCCCAGGUUGCUUCGCUGGAGCUGCAGGAUGAGGCUGGUUGAGGAGGGAGGCACUGCACUGCCCUAGUGGCCCUGGGCCUUGACCCUGCAGCCCCACAGCCCCAGUGGAGUAGGGUAGGGUGUGCAGAAGAUGGUUCUUUUUUGCAGUCCAGAGUGACACUUGGGCCACGCUGGAGGCAACACAAGGUUUCUCUUAGAUCAGUCUUUUGGUCCUAGCUCUGAGUUUUCUCUUCUUUUCCUUGGCUAUAUUGAAGCAGUUUUGUAAAUAAUCGAGUCUGAGAAUGCUAACGCUAAUUCAAAAAGAAGUAAGCUCUAAUGCUAGAAUGUCUUUGUAGAUACAGCAACAUUGAGUAUACCCUAGAGCUUCAGUCUCCACAAAUACAUUGGGUAAUGGUCUUUUUUUUUUUUUUUUUUGUAUUUAAGCUUUUCUGUUGGUAGUCUGAGCUUUUGACUUUGCAGAAAACAAUCCACCAUAAGUUUUUUUUCUCCACUGCUGUGGGAGGACACCACAGCAUCCUGAUGCUGUGAAUCCUUACCUUCCACAACCCCCACAGUCUGCAUCAUUCAUCUCCUCCUCCACCUGUCAAGGUUUCCUUGCAUUCUUGGCAAUGACUACAGAGGAAAUUAAAGGCUUUAUUUCCAGCCUAGCUUCAGAUGUCACAAAUAUGGAGGCCAGUUUCUGAAAAAUCCAGUUCUAAAAUCUCCAGUGUUUAUUGUUUUCUGUGCUUACCAGCCAAGAUCUUCUCCCUGAUGUGGCAAAAUACUGCCAUCUGUAAGAUACGUCAAGCUAUAUGUUAAUGUGUUGGUACUUGCAAAUGCCAUAAGCUAAUUCAUGGGCUUGCUGUGGUUUAAGAUGUGGUUUAUGAUGUGGUGGUUUAAGAUAUGGUGUGGUUUAAGAUAUGGUUUAAGACUUCAUGGCACAUAGUGGCUUGUUUUUAAUGUUGUUUUUUUUUGUUUGUUUGUUUGUUUGUUUUUUUUGUCUUUAAUUUAGUCUGACCCAGUUUAAGUGUUCCAGCUUGGGACAGGUCCACAAGUUUGGGUAAUUUCAUUUAGACAUACUCUUACACAUAAUUGGACUUUGUGGCUCUAAUCUGUGCAUGGAAACAAGUGAUAAUAUAUAUUGGUAGAAUUAACUUGCCUGUAUUGUUGUAACAUUACAGGAUGUCCUCAGUAGUGUAGCAGUAGUGCUCCUAUACCUUCUUGUAUAGAAUAUUCAUUGUUAAAAGAUGUGCAGAAGUUAAUUGAUCUCAAAACUUACUUUUACUUGAUCAUUACCAAGACAUUUAGCUAUUAAUACACAGUUUCAUGAUGCAUUAAAUGAGUUAGGAACACAAUUAGCCAAUUCUUCCCAUUACCGUGACUUAAAUUUCAUCUGCUUUUUUGGCAUUCUUGAUUUUGUUUUAGUAGUUUAUAAAUGGUAAAGGAAAAAAAGAUAACAGAACUUCAGAUUUCCACCUGUGCAUAUCUGUACUUUGCCAUAGGGACAUGAUUAAACAGGUAGUAUAGGUACAGUCUAAGUUGUUUAAAUGGACUUCACAUCAUCAGGUGUUCUUUUUGUCUUCCCUUGAGAAACUUAGUGUAAAGAAUAUAGACAGUAGACUUGGCUCAGGUUGACUUGAUCAAUUCAUGGUGUGUGGACAGUACCCAGUUUGAAGCAGAUAGCCUGCUUAAUAAACCUCCUGCUAUUUAGAGAGAAUAUUUGUUU
ensembl:lncRNA